GAUGAACGCUAGCUACAGGCUUAACACAUGCAAGUCGAGGGGUAACAAGAGGAAAGCUUGCUUUCCUUGUUGACGACCGGCGCACGGGUGAGUAACGCGUAUCCAACCUGCCUAUAACUAGGGAAUAACCUUGCGAAAGUAAGACUAAUACCCUAUGAUUUCCUUUGAUGACAUCAGAUUAGGAAUAAAGAUUUAUCGGUUAUAGAUGGGGAUGCGUCUGAUUAGCUUGUUGGCGGGGUAACGGCCCACCAAGGCAACGAUCAGUAGGGGUUCUGAGAGGAAGGUCCCCCACAUUGGAACUGAGACACGGUCCAAACUCCUACGGGAGGCAGCAGUGAGGAAUAUUGGACAAUGGGCGAAAGCCUGAACCAGCCAAGUAGCGUGCAGGAUGACGGCCCUAUGGGUUGUAAACUGCUUUUAUACAGGAAUAAAGUUAGCCACGUGUGGUUAUUUGUAGGUACUGUAUGAAUAAGGACCGGCUAAUUCCGUGCCAGCAGCCGCAGUAA
rnacentral:rRNA from 1 species